rnacentral:rRNA from 1 species
ANGCGNGUCUAGGCAUGCAGUCUACGGUUCUUCACCCUUCGUUUCUCUUAGGGUUUCGAACCGCAAGGUAUUUUUCGAUAACUACCCUGCGGUUCGUAGCUCUCGCGACGGAGGAGCGAAGAGUGAAGAACCGUGGCAGACGGGUGCGUAACACAUUGGUAAUCUACCCUUUUCCCGAGUAUAACCUGGAGAAAUCCGGGAUAAUCCUCGAUAGUCAUGGGGGGACGCAAGUCAUUCCCAUGUAAAGUUUCGACGGAAGAGGAGGAGCCUAUGGCCCAUUAGCUUGUUGGUAGGGUAAAAGCCUACCAAGGCUAUGACGGGUAGCGGGUGUGAGAGCAUGGCCCGCCUCACUGGGACUGAGACACUGCCCAGACUCCUACGGGAGGCUGCAGUCAAGAAUCUUCCUCAAUGGACGAAAGUCUGAAGGAGCAAUGCCGCGUGAUCGAAGAAGCUUUUCGGAGUGUAAAGAUCUUUUAUCAGGGACGAAUUCGUGACGGUACCUGAAGAAUAAGCACCGGCUAACUACGUGCCAGCAGCCGCGGUAAUACGUAGGGUGCAAGCGUUAAUCGGAAUUACUGGGCGUAAAGCGUGCGCAGGCGGUUGUGCAAGACAGAUGUGAAAUCCCCGGGCUUAACCUGGGAACUGCAUUUGUGACUGUGCGACUGGAGUGCGGCAGAGGGGGAUAGAAUUCCGCGUGUAGCAGUGAAAUGCGUAGAUAUGCGGAGGAACACCGAUGGCGAAGGCAGUCCCCUGGGCCUGCACUGACGCUCAUGCACNAAAGCGUGGGGAGCAAACAGGAUUANAUACCCUGGUAGUCCACGCCCUAAACGAUGUCAACUGGUUGUUGGAC